rfam:Endocarpon pusillum Z07020 unplaced genomic scaffold C682903, whole genome shotgun sequence.
CGCACUGUGGCUAAGCGGCCAAAGCGCCGGGCUCAUAUGCCGGAGAACGGUGGUUCGAGUCUAUCCAGUGCCC